CUUGAAAACACUUUAUUACUGUUGCUGGGAGUACAUUUCUGCAGAUUUCCCAAAUCCGUCACUGACCAUUUGACACAGGGAGUGUGUUCCCUAAAGAUGAGUUUUUAGUGACCUAGUGUCACCAAGCUUCUGGGUGAGGUAUGCAACUAAAGUUGCACUUGCUUUAAUUUGAAUGUAUAAUGUGUCACCAGGGCUGAGUAGACUUGGCUGAGGCAAAAUACAGUGCAGUGUAGGGAAGUGCAUUAUCAUGCACUUAGAUAGAAGGAAUAAAGGCAUAGACUAUUUUCAAAAUGGGGAGGAAAUUCAGAAAUCAGAGUUGCAAAGGGAAUUGUGCUGGAUUCAAUAAAAUCAAUGAUAGCGAAGACAAAUGCAACGUUAGCCAUUCCGUUUGAGAGGACUGGUCCAUAAAAGCAAGGAUGUAAUGCUGAGGAUUUAUAGGGGACUGGCCCGACUGCGCUUGGAGCAUUGAGAGCAGUUUUGUAGCCCUUACUGAAGAAAGGACGUGCUGCCAUUGGAGAGGGUUCAGAGGAGGUUCACGGGAAUGAUCCCAGGAAUGAAAGGGUUAACGUGAGUAUUUGAUGGCUCUGAGUCUGCAUUUGCUGGACUUUAGAGGAAUGAGGGGGGUCUCAGUGAAGCUUAUUGAAUGGUGAUAGGCCUAGAUAGAGUGGAUAUGAAGAGAAUGUUUCCUAUAGUAGGAGACCAGAGGGCACAGCCUCAGAAUACAGGGACAUCCCUUCAGAACAGACAUGAGGAGGGAUUUCUUUAGCCGGAGGGUGGUGAUUUGGUGGAAUUCAUUGCACAGAUGGCUGUGGAGGCCAAGUCUUUAGGUAUAUUUAAAGUGGAGGUUGUUAGCUUCCUGAUUCGUCAGUGUCAAAGGUUACAGGGAAAAGGCAGGAGAAUGGGGUUGAGAGGAAUAAUAAAUCAGCCAUGAUGGACUGGCAGAGUAGACUCGAUGGGCCAAAUGGCCAAAUUCUGCUCCUAUGUCUUAUGCUCUUAUCAUCUUAAAGCCAAGGUUUAGUGGCUUGGGUUAACAAAUGUCACUGGGUUUCAGGGUGAGCUAUGAAAUGAAAUUCAUGCUCCCUUUAAUUUGAACUUGUGUGUUUCUGAGUCCCAUUAAGUACUGGCUCGGCGGCAGAUCCUCUUUGCGAUCUGAAUUCAGGGGUAACGUAGCCACAAAACUGUGUAAAAAUAUUCCGGGACUUUUCAGAUUCCAGAAAUACCUUCUGUGGCUCUGACUGGUCGAGCCGCCCUUUCAAUCCCUCUUCAGUUUUGUAGCUCCAACUGGCAGAUCUUGUGGUAAAUUCAGCAUGUUUCUGGGAAUGGAGAGGUGCCAAAGCUGAGCAGGAAGCAAAGCCAUAAAAGGAGAGGCCGGAGCUGGAGUGCUGAAGGGCGGGUUUCCUUCGUUCUUGCCUUGGCUUAUCUCUCGCUGACAGGCAGGGAGUGGAGCUCCACACCUUAAUUUCAACGGCAUGCUUCCCUCUAAACCAUUGCUCCCUUCCCCCGCACAGCCUCCCAGGCUUGUUCCUGCUUGUACGUAUGUGGCUUUUCAAUGUUGCAAUAACUUCGCUGUGCUCAGUUUUCUUUUCCUCUUUAACCCUUCGCAGAGUUCAUAGGCUGUUCGUUCGGCCUCUCGAGCUGAAAGCCUUCACGUAGGCCUUUAACUCCGUGCUCACAGAGCGUGAAACACGACAUCGCUGUAGCGUAGUGGCUAGUGCGUCACCUUGCGGCACCAGUGGUUCGGGUUCAAAUCCCACCCCUGCCUGUAAGGAGUUUGUACAUUCUGUCCGUGACCGUGUGGGUUUCCUCCGGGUGCUCUGGCUCCCUCCACUGUCCACGGGUGUUAAGAGGGUCACUGACACAUCCUACUACAUCCAACAAAAGUAACAUGGAAAAGUAUUUCCUCUCAGAGGACCUGAGCCUAUGAAAAAAGUCUGGUGGAAGCAGAGCCUUUGAAUAUUACUAAAGAGAGCGGAAGAUAGAUUCUUGAUAAGCAACAGCGUGAAGCAUAACCUCAAGUCAGCAGGAAUGCAGAGAAUGAAUCUGCCAUGAUCUUAUUGAAUGGCAGAGCAGGAGUAGAAGGGCUGAGUGGCCUACUGUGCUCCAAAUUUGAAAUACACAGGACUUCCGGUCAAGAUAGUGCCUGCGUACAAAGCUCCUUCGGUCGACACCUUCUGGAUAGAUCAUGAAAAUAUAUAUGCCUUUUACGUUUGUUGUUCAUCUUGAAUGUGAUUCCGGAACCGUCAGAGCCUGCGAUUUGCAGUUCAGAGAUUGUUUGGAUGUUUCAGCACUCUGGCAUCUCCGAGAAGACUCUGGGAGGCAGAGGCAAGGUGCGGGGACCUCGUGGUGAGGCGGCUGCAAGCUGAUGUUCGACUCCAUUUCGCUGAAUAAAGCUUCCAUUGUUCGCUGAUUGGAGCGAUGAGGGAGAUUGAAAUGCCAGCUGCCUGGCUUUUUAUCGGUGGUGAGAUCACUCUGCUGUGGAGAGAGGAGACUGCCUUUCUAUCACUGGUGAGAUCACUCUGCUGUCAGAGUGGGGAGACUGCCUUUUUAUUGCUGGUGAGAUUGCUCUGCUAUGGAGAGGGAGAAUAUUACCCAGGUUUUCUGCAUUUAGGUUGUGGACUUGGAUUGUGGAUUUUUUUUUCAGUCGUAUGUUUUUUUGUGUUCUGUGUUUUUCGCCCAACCUUUCUCCUUUUUUUUCGUGUGUGCAGGAGGGGGAUUUGGUGGUUAAUGUGCCUGUUCCAUUUUUGUUCAUUUUUUGUGGGAAGGAGGAAGGGUUUUCCGGUUGAUGAUCGUUCUGCAUUUGUUUUUUUUUAAUUUCAUGGCCAUCUAGAGAAAAAUUUCAGAGUUGUAUACUUUGAUAAUAAAUGAAUCUUUGAACCUUUGAAUAAGCUUCAGGACGGAGACCUCAAUAACUCCUUGUUGACUGGAUCCUCGAAUUCCUUACUUGCAGACAACAGACAGUUCAGAUAGGCAACAACACCUCCUCCACAAACUCCAAUGGCAGAGCUGUACCACAAGGCUGUGUGCUUAGGCCCCUGCUCUACUCACUUUAUACUUAUUACUGUGAGGCUAAGGUCAACUCCAGUGCCAUGUCCCAAUCAGUUAAGUUAGACAACCUCUCCUCCUCCACUCUCACCCUGAACACCAGCGUGCCUCAAGGCUGUGUGCUGAGCCCUCUUCUGUACUCCCUUUUCACCUAUGACUGAGUUCCUGUACAUAGUUCAUAAUCAAAUUUGCAGACAACAUCAUGGUGGUUGGCCUGAUCAGAGGGAAUGAUGAGACGGCCUACAGGGACGAGGUCCAGCACCUGGCCACGUGGUGUGCCGACAACAACCUGGCCCAUAACACCCAGAAGACCAAGGAUACCAUUGUGAACUUCAGGCAUGUUAGGAGUCACGCUCACGUCCCCAUCUACAUCAACGAAGCUGUAGUGGAGCAUGUAUCAAGCUUCAAAUUCCUUGGUGUCCACAUUUCCGAGGAUCUCACCUGGUCCCUGAAUUCCUCCAUUCUGAUCAAAAAGGCACAACAGAGCCUUUGUUUCCUGCGGAGCAUCAAGAAAGCUCACCUCUGUCCCAGGAUAUUGAUGGACUUUUACCGCUGUACCAUUGAGAGCAUACUCACCAACUGCAUCUCAGUGUGGUAUGGUAAUUGUCCCAUAUUGGACCGCAAAGCACUCCAGCGUGUAGUGAAAACUGCCCAGCGGACUAUUGGCACCCAAUUGUCCACCAUUGAGAACAUCUACCAUAAACGCUGCCUGGGUGGGGUGAAAAGCAUUAUCAAGGAUGCAUCUCUCCCUAACCAUGGACUUUUUACUCUCCUCCCAUCUGGUAGGCGCUACAGGAGCCUCCACUCCCGCACCAGCAGGCAUAGGAAGGGCUUCUUACCUGAUGCUGUGAUCCUGCUGAACUUCACAUCACAGCGCUAAGCAGUAUUGCUCCCAUAUUGUACUGUCUCAGUACUUUUAUAUUUGUGUGCUGUAGCACUUACUUUUUAUUCGCAGUCAUUUUGUAAGUAACACUAUUCUUUGCAUUUCUGGUUAGAUGCUAACUGCAUUUCACUGGCUUUGUAUCUGUACUCCGCACAAUGACAAUAAAGUUGAAUCUAAUCUAAUCUAAUGUUCAAGUUUGCUGAUGAUACCACUGUCAUUGGUUGAAUCAAAAGUGGUGAUGAAUCAUUAAGGAGGGAGAUUGAAAAUCUGGUUGAGUGGUGACACAACAACAGCCUCUCACUCAAUGUCAGCAAAACCAAAGAGCUGAUUAUUAAUUACAAGUGGAGGAAACCAAAGGUCUAUGAACCUGUCCUCAUUGGGGAAUUCUGAGGUGGAUAAGGUCAGCAACUUUAAACUCCUCAGCAUUGUAAUUUGAGAGGAUUUGUCCUGGGAACAAGACAUAAAUGCCAUUACAAAGAAAACACAGUAGUGCCUUUAUUUUCUUAGAAGUUUGCAAAGUUUUGGCAUGUCAUUUAAAACUUGGCAUACUUCUAUUGCCGUGUGGUGGAGAGCAUCACGGGUUGCAUCUGGUUACAUCACAACUUGUUCUGGAAACACCAAUGCACUUGAAUGGAAAAGCCUACAAAAAGUAUUGAUAGAGCCGGGUCCAUCAUGGGUGAAGCUCUCCCCACCGUUCAGCAUAUCUACAAGGAGCAUUGUUGCAGCAAGGUAGCAUCCAUCAUCAAGGACCCAUACCAUCCAGAUCGUGCCCUGGUCUCAUUGCUCCCAUUAGGAAAGAGAUACGAAAGCCUCAAGGCCCACAGCACUAGGCUGAGGAACAGUUAUUGCCCCUCAACCAUCAGGCUUUUGAACCAGAGGGGUUAGCUUCACUCAACUCCACUCAGCCCAUUCACUGAACUAUUCCCAUAACUUAUGGGCUCACUUUCAAGAACUCAUCAUCUCAUGUUCUUGUAUUUAUUGCUUGCUUGUUCGUUGUUUGUUUGUUUGUUUAUUUAUCUAUCUACCUCUUUUUGUAUUUGCAUGGUUUGUUGUCUCGCACAUUGCUGAUUGUCUGUCCUGUUGGGUGAAGUUUUUCAUUGAGUCUAUUGUGGUAUUUACUGCGAAUGCCCACAAGAAAAUGUAUCUCAGGGUUGUAUAGGGCGACAUAUGUUAUUCUGAUAAUAAAUUUACUGUGAGCUUUGAAC